UGCGUAGGCGGCUAGGUAAGUCAGAUGUGAAAUUCCGGGGCUCAACCGCGGAACUGCAUUUGAUACUGCUUGGCUAGAGUACUGGAGAGGAGACUGGAAUUUACGGUGUAGCAGUGAAAUGCGUAGAUAUCGUAAGGAAGGCCAGUGGCGAAAGCGAGUCUCUGGACAGUAACUGACGCUGAUGCACGAAGGCUAGGGGAGCAAACG
rnacentral:rRNA from 1 species